rnacentral:lncRNA from 1 species
CUUCGGGUUGCUGGCGGUUACAAGGCCGCCCACACGGGUUGCCGCUUUAGACCUGAUUUCGGGACCAAGGGCGAGAGCGACCUCUCAGGCCUAGCCAAUUCGGUUCUGUGGUAUCAAAAACACCAAAGAUAAGAAACUCUUAUGUGCAGUUGUACGACUAUGAAAAGUGGGGACCACUGUCCACCUGCCCCUGUCCUGGAGUCCAAGGGCAUGGAGUCUAUCACUGGAGUCAGUACUUUCAGGCUUCAGCUGAGUUUGGCCGGUGGAGAGGCAGCACAGACAUGAAUCUGCAAGAUGGGAAAAGAGUGAGGUCAGUAUAUUAAUUCAUCUGGGUUUCUACCCGAAAGGUCACUUUGGACUAUCUGUUGGGCUGCUUCUUAGGAAGUCUCUACUCCUCCAAAAGUGACCUACUCUAUAUGACUCACUUUUAAAUGUUCUAACUUCUCCCUUCUUUGGGUCAAGGGAUUGUAAUAUAUUUAAAAGUACUAGAUUCAUUCAUUCCCUUCAGUUCCCUAUACCCUGACCCACACCCUUUUUUAUUCCUUUUAACUGAGGUAUAGUUGAUGUACAAUAAAAUAUCUCAGGUGUACAACAUAGUGACUCACAAUUUUUAAAGGUUAUAUUCCCUGUAUUAUGCAAUAUUAACUUGUAGCUUAUUUAUUUUAUGCAUAAUAGUUUGUACCUCUUAAUUCCCUGCCCCUUUCUUGUCCCUCCCUCUUCCCUCUCCCCAUUGGUAACCACUAGUUUGUUCUCUAUAUCUAUGUCUUAACUUUUUUUUGUUAUAUUUACUAGUUUUAUUUUUUAGAUUCCGCAUAUAAGUGAUAUCAUACAGUAUUUGUCUUUCUCUGUCUGACUUAUUUCACUUAGUAUAAUACUCCCCAAGUCCAUCCAUGUUGCUGCAAAUGGCAAAAUUUCAAUCUUUUUCUAUGGCUGAGAUAUAUAUAUAUAUAUAUAUAUAUAUAUAUAUAUAUAUAUAUAUUUAUAUCCAUUAUUGAUGGAUACUUAGGUUGCUUCCAUAUCUUGGCAUUUGUAAAUAAUGCUGCUAUGAACAUUGAGAUGUAUGUAUUUUUUUUUAAUUAGUGUUUUCAGGUUUUUUUGGAUAGAUUCCUGGAGCAGAAUUGCUAGGUCAUAUUUUCAGGUUUUUUUUUUUUUUUUUUUUAAACCUCCAUAAUGUUCUCUGCAGGUCCACACUCUUAAUUGGUCCCUUGGAGGUGGUGAUGGUGGACAUUAAAAGUACCUUAACUGGAGUUCCCAUCAUGGUGCCAGUGGUUAACAAACACAACUAGGAACUAUGAGGUUGCGGGUUUGAUCCCUGGUCUCACUCAGUGGGUUAAGGAUCUGGCAUUGCUGUGAACUUCCAUUUCCAGAUCGCAGAUGUGGCUCGAAUCCUGUGUUGCUGUGUCUCUGGCAUAGGCCAGUGGCUACAGCUCCGAUUAGACCCCUGGCCUGGGAACCUCCAUAUGCCAUGGGUAUGGCUCUAGAAAAGACCCCCCAAAAAAUAAAAUAAAAUACCUUAACUGGAGGAGUUCCCUCCAUGGCACAGUGGAUUAAGAAUCUGACUGCAGUGGCUUAGGUCCCUGCAGAGGUGUGGGUUCAAUCCCUGGCCUAGCACAGUGGGUUAAAGGAUCUGGUAUUGCUGCAGCUGCACUGUAGGUCACAGCUACAGCUUGGAUUCAAUCCCUGGCCCAGGAACUUCCAUAUGCCACUAGUGUGGCCAUAAAAAGAAAAAAAAAUGUACCUUAACUGGAGGUUUUCUGUUAUCAUCUCUAAUGCUAUUUUGAAAAGAACUAUAUGCUAAAAGAACAGAACUAAAUUUCCAUUGACUAAAACACACUUCACAUUGUGGUUUGUUACUUAAACUAGCCAUAUUUAGAAGGAUGUGCUCUUUCUUUUCAAUAGAAUCAAAGAUUUUUACUGUGGUAAUCUAUUUCAGUGAUCAUUCUCUUUAACAAAUGAGAAAAUGAUUUGGACGAGGACAUGUAAUCAAUGAGUAACAGUGUUAGAGUUUAAAUUUCCCAUGUGCUUCCUUUUUAGCCAAUUUUCUUUACACUUCAACUCUCCCUCUUUUAUUUCUCUGGAGGCUUCCCCAUUCACUUUGUCCAGAGAAUAAUCCUUGUCCUUCCUUCAGUGAGUGCCUUGGUUCUUUGGAAUACCUGAUGGUUCAAAUAGGAGUGGGAACCUGGAAUUCUCACUAAAGACUUGACAUUUAUCCCUGUUUUCAGUCACAUGCCUUACAGUCAUGCCUUCUGUAAUUGGUCUUUCUUAUUGCUCAACUUUUUUUUUUCUUUUUCCCAGAGUGUUUUUGGAUCGAUUCACCUCAGAUUUCUCCACUAUUAGGGGUCAAAUUUCCUGAUGACAGUGUCAACUUACAACUUCCAUUUCCACUUACAACUUGCUCUGCAAAACAAAAUUUAAAGGUUUAAAAUAACUACAGUCACUUUACUAUUUCUCAGUUUCUGUAGGACAGGAAUUCUGAAAUACUUUAGUUGGAAAACUUGAGUUCUGGCUCAGAAUCUAUCAUGCCAUUACAGUCAGAAUCAAUUAGAACUGGAAGAAUGGGAACUAGAGCAAUUAGGAGCUAGCUAGUCAUCUCUCCCUGAGAAGUCCCAGGACUUCUCUGUAUGGUCUGUCCCUCUGAUUUGGGUUGAGCUUUCUUACUGUAUUGGCUGCCUUAAAGCAGUCAAACUGCUGUGAUGGUAGUUUCAACCUCAACAGUGAAAAUUCCAGUGAGCAAAGUGUAAGCUGUAUCACUUUUUAUAGCCUAGUUUGAAAGUCACAUAAUGUCACUUCUACCAUAUUCUUUUGACCAAAACAUUCUCAAAAACCCACUCAGUUUCAUAGUGAAGGGGUAGAGAUGCUACCUCUCAAUGGGAGGAAUAUCAAAGCCACAUUGUAAGAGCAUAUGGAGUGGAAGAUUUUGUUGCAGCCAUUUUGGGGCGGUAGAAGUUGCAUCACAACUCCUACAUCUAAUUUCUUCACUUUUUUUGUAUGACCAAGGGUUUUUAAGUUAUGAAAUACAUCAUACAAAAAGGUAUAGAGAGUAAUAUAAUAGACACUUUUGUCUUCACCACCUUGCUUUAGAAAUAAAACAUUUCAAAUAGUUAACACCCCUUUCUGCUUACAUUUCUGUUUCUCUCCCUUUUACAAAGAGAUAAACAUUGUCUUAAUAUUUAUUAUUGUCAUGCCUAUCUUUAUAAUGUUAAUAUAUGUAUCUCUAAACAGUAGUAAAUACGAAGUCUUUUUAAGCUUCCUAUAACAUGAUUUUUUUUAUAACAUUAAAACUUUUGAAACUCAGUGUUACUCUUCUGAGAUUCAUUUGUAUUGAUGUAUAGCCAUAAGGCUCAGAUAGUAAAUAUGUUAGGCUUUGUGGGCAGACAGACUUUGUUGCAACUGCUUAUUCUGCAGUUGUAGUACAACAGCAGCUCUUCUAAAUAUGUAAAUGAAUGGUGCACCCAUGUUCCGAUACAACUUUAUAAAAAUAGAUGGCAGAGAACAGCAUUAGGCCUGUGGGCCAUAGUUUGCUGACCCUAGAUCUGGUAUAAAAUUUAUGAUACUUUAGAUAGCUUGUGUUCCCUGAAGGUUGUUUUAGCUUAUAACCCAGUCCCAACCCCAUCCUUAGCAUAUUUCUCUGCCUUAGGAAGAAAUUUUAGAGACACUGAUUUAGGAAUACAACUGACUGAUUUACUAAAUUUUGAUGUUUAAAAAGCCCCACUGGACUCCAUUUUUCAUUUUUUAUUCUUGAGGGGAAAGCCCAGCAAACUCCUGCCUUUAGACCCCUUUAGAAAUCCUCUCUUGAACUCAUACUGGCUCUUUUCUACAUGCCUUGUCUGCCUAGAAAAUUUCAGUUUAUAUAUCAAGAUUUCCCACGAAUGUCUCUUCCUUCAGGAUACCUUUCCUGAUACCUCCCAGCCAAAGGAAGGCUUUUCCAGUAUUCCCAUACUUAGUUGGUAUCUCUAACACAACUCAGAGCCUUACUUAUUUGUUUGCAUGACUGUCUUCCCCAUUAAAUUUUUAUUCCCUAGGGAAUGAAGACUUAUUCUGUUUAUCUUUGUUUCCAACACAAAACUCAGUGCUUGGAACCUAGAUGUACUUAACAAGUAGUUAUGGAAGGAUGGAAAGGAGGGAGGGAGGAACUAGUAUUCCAGUGUCUACUUGGAACAAGAAGCAAAUUUGCAUAAUAUGCAGGCCUCUGAAAGUGAAGAUACCCCUCUUCAUCUUUCUACCCCAUCUUACCAGAGAGCAUUCCUUCAUGCCUUCUCACCUCCCCUUUGCAGGGAGGCAGAUAAAUCACAUUGUCUUUUAUAAGAUAGUUAUAAUUUUUUCAUAGGAAGCACUUUAUUGUACAUUUCCUUGUGAACUAAAUUCCUAGGUUCUAAGGUGUUGAAUAUCCUCAAAACUACUACUAUUUAUGAAGAAAGACAGGAAAACCAAGGUAAGGAGUUCCCACUGUGUCUCAGCAGGUUAAGGACCCAGCUUUGUCUCUGUGAAGAAGUGAGUUUGAUCCCUGGCCUUGCUCAGUGGGUUAAGGAUUUGUGUUGCCACAAGCUGUGGUGUAGGUCGCAGAUGUGGUUCAGAUUCAGUAUCAUCAUCACUGUGACUGCAUGAAUAAAAAAUACUAUAUAACUGAUCCAUAUCCAUUUACUAAUUUGUAUGUAGAUUUAAUAAAGUUAAAUAGCAUGAUGGAAGGAAAUGGGCUCUAGAAUUAGAAAGACCUGAAUUUGAAUCCAGGUUCUGCUCAUUACCAGCAUUAUGGCAUUGAGCACCUAUUUGAUUUCUCUUAGCUUUGAGUUCUGUAUCUGAAAAGGGUAUAGUAAUACCUCUCAUAGUGCCACAAGAACAAAUUCAGUCAGUCUUAUUACAUCGGCACUCAGUAAUGGUUCAAUCCCCAGCCUGGCGCAAUGGGUUAAGGAUGAGGAGUUGCUGCAGCUGUGGUGUAGAUCACAACUGUGGUGUAGUUUGCAGAUGUGGCUCAGAUUUGAUCCCUGGCUCGAGAAUUUCCAUAUGCUGUGGGUGAGGCCAUACACAAAAUCUGGUUGAAAGUAAAGAGAAGCUAAACUAAAAAGCUUCUUAACUGUUCUGCAGGGCUCCUGACUUAAGGAUAUUGAAAAGAGAUUGGUUGGAAAAGGUAUGGUACCUACACACACGUGUGUGAAUAUGUAUGCAUGUGUGUGACCAUGUGUGUGUAUAUGCUCUGUGCACAUAUGUGGUGUGUGUAUGAAUGCACAUGAAUGUGUAUAUAUGUGCACGUGUGUUUUCUGCUAGAUUUUCAUAGGAGGGGUGAGGAGGCAUAUCUUUCCUCCAAAAUAGCAAAGGUCUUGUGAAAUGCUGUAUGCUUUUAGUUCCAAAAUUCUACUGAAGAUCCCAAGGACUUGGGUAAAUGUUCAGCUUCAGAUGAAUCUUUCUAGGUGGAGGUGAGGCAUAAGGUAUAGAUCCUAGAACUAGUACAUCACUCUUGUGUUAGGGAGUAGUUUAUUUCUAAAGCAGAAUUAGCAUAACACUGUAAACAACAAAAAAAAAGGGGGAUAAAAGUGAAAUUUGAAGGAAGAGACUGGAAGCAAGUCUAGGAACUAAGGUGCUGACUCAAGGGGACCCUUAUUUCUGUUCCUUUGGACCUGUAGCAUCUAGUUCUAUGUUUUAUCCUACAUUGUAAUUCACCCUCUCGUUCCCACAGUUUUUCAAAGCACAGUACCCAUUCUGCAGCUUGAUGUUAAUAGUGUUGUGGGAACAGUGGGCAGGGAAUAAACAGACAAGGCAGUAAACAGAACCGCAGCCUUACCACCUCAGCUCUUCCUGAAGCCAAUGUAACUGGAACAAUAGGGUGUGAAGGUGUAAAGAAGGAGAUUCACAAGGCCACUAGUGGUGAACUAAACCACACCUCAUUAUGGAGGUAGUGGUGAAGAGUUAUGUGACCUCAGAGAAUCUGCUGCAGCUUGGACAGAAGAAGGAGGGCAUGAGAGAUCAACCCCCUGAAGUGAGGCAGGGUGAGAAAGGUAGAGGAGUGCAAGCAUAUACUUGGCUCACAGUGCGGUGUAGGAUCUUUGAUAAAGAAACUGGAAUGACACAUGAAUGAUUGAGAGCUAAUGGAUUUUUUUUUCAUGUGUUGAAAUAUGUGUAUAAUUUUAUUUUACUUCUUUUUAUGUGUAAUUUAUUUAUUUUGGAAUGGGAAUGGUAGUAACCUUCACAUAGUUCAUAAUUCAAAAAGUAUUCAAUUAUACACAGUGAAGACUCCCUCCCAUCUACAUGCUCCAGCCACACAGUUCCUCCUCCAGAGGCAUCAGCAUCAUUAAUUUACUUCCUUUCCUUAGGGAAAUACACAAGCAAAUUUGCAUAAGGCAUCCUCCCCACAAUCUUUUAUUUAUAUAAAUGAUAACUCACUAUUCUGCUUUUCUCACAAAAUUUAUUUUAGAGAUCAUUCCAUACCAGUACGCUUGUGAAUAACUUUAAAAAGUCAAAAUUAAGAGCCAAAAUGCAUUUGCAUUUAACUUCAUGAUAUCAUGAGAUUAUGGGGACAAAUUAAAGCAAAGUACAAAUUUUUAAAAGUGGUAUUAUAAUCAAUAUAUUCCUUGAAAAUUUCAAUUACUUUGAAUUAUUCAUAGAUCCAUGGGGGGAAAUAAUGGUUUAGAAAUGAAUGUGAUUGAAAUUGGUGCAUAUUUUCAGCAACUUUAUGGGAAGUCAGCAAAUAUGCUAAAUGAAUUAUAAUUCUCAAAAAGGUCAAAAAAACUCAAGGAACGUGAAUGUAAUUGAGGCAGGGUCAUAGCCUUGUCAGAUUUUGUAUUCAGUAACUUUAGCAAAGCAACUGUUAAAAUAUUGCUUGAAGGUUUUUACAUGUCCCAUAGUUUUGGAAUCUAAGUAGAAAUAGAAUAGAUGCCCCUGAAUGUGUCCUUUGAAACAGAAAGUCCAGUUUGGCCGAUACUAGAGGUAGUAGUGCUUUACAGAGGGAGUAUGAUUUUAAUCUAUCUUUUCUGGGUCCAGCCUCAAUCCAUAUAUAGUGUUUAAGUUGGUAACUCUGAAUUUGGCAGUCAGUUUAACCAUGAUGUAGCCGUUAAAGUAUUUAGACUACAUGGUCAUUGUAUUUGCUCUUGUGUAUAGACUAGUUUAUUAUUUUCUGUUGAUUUAUUUGCAAGAUUCCCAAAGUGUUUUUUUUUUUUUAUAUCAUUGAAAGGAAAGUAUCUAUGUCUUGAAAAUACUUGGUGAUUUAAAUAAUUCAGAUGUUGUAUUAGUUUGAUGGGGUUGCCAUAACAAAAUACUACAAGCUUGAAUGGCUUAAAUAACAGAAAUUUAUUUUCUCACAGUUUGGAGGAUGGGAGUCCAAGAUCAAGGUAUCCGCAGAUGUGGUUUCUCCUGAGUCUCUCUCCUUGGCCUUCAGAAAGCUGUCUUCUCACUAAGUGUUCACAUGGUCUUCUUUCUCUAUGUGUGCAUCCUGGUGUUUCUUCCUUUUCUUAUGAGGAUAUCAUGUUGGAUUAGGGUCUUACCCUUAUGACCUAUUUAAUCUUAAUUACCUCUUUAAAGGCUUUAUCUCAAAAUAUUGUCACAUUGGGGGUUAGGGCUUCAAUAUAUGAAUUUUGGAGGAGGGGGAUAUAAUUCAUUCUGUGGGAUAAUGCUGCAAUCAUGAACUUGUAAUAGUCUCAUUACCCACUUUCCUUUUAAGAUUACAACUUACUAUUAAUUACAAAUAGCAAAACACCUUAAGUAAAGGAUGCAUUGCUAUUUAAAAAACCUGAAACUAAAUUUUACCUCAGCCAGGUAUGGCCUCAAAUUGCUAAGAGCUGAAUUAAUUAUAACCACAUGUUGGAUAUUAAUCUUAGAAAAUUGAGUUAUCUAAAUUCUUAGUAAGAUCAUUGGCCAAUAGAUAACAAAAAACAACUGCAUAGGAAAAAAAAAAACCUGUGAAUAAGAAUACAAGGAUCUGAUCUUUUUUUACUUUGAAAAAAAAAAAAAACAAAACUAAGAGAGUUGUUUUUUCAGAGUUCCUUUUUUCCUUUUAACAGAUCACAUUAAAUCCUAAAAUAGUCCAAGUACAGAAUUUUGCUUUCUAAGCUAGAGAGUUAAGAUGAAAUGUUUUUCCUUAAAAAACAAAGAACUCAAUCAUUCAUAUCAAUAAUUUCUGAAAAUAUGUAGUGAGAAAAGAGUUUUGUAUGCAUAAUGAAGAUAUAGAAGCUAUAUGUAUGUUGUAUCUUAAGAAUAGCUAUUGGUUUUAGAAAGAGAAGAAAAAAUGUACUGAGACAAAUUGUUUUGAAAGGUAAUUGUUCUGAUUUGGCUUUCCUGAUGUGAUUGCAAGAGAAGAAGCCUGUGGUUGCUUGGUUAGUUUGUAAAGCUGGAAUAGCUCUUGUGUGCUGGCAAGUUUUGGUGUGCUUUUUCUGAGAAAUUUUCCCUAUUUUAAAAAUCCAAACCUUUCAUUAGGGUUUAAAAUAUGAUAUCAUGAUCACAUAAAGUUAGAGACAUAAAAGACUUUUUAAUUUACUUUUCAAAAUCAGUUAGAAAGAGUUACUGUCUGUUCCUUUUCUCCAGUAACUAUAAGCACAUAUAUUAUCCACUGUAAAUGUCUUGAUUUUUGUUGAAAAUCCAGGUAAGAUAUUUUUGUUAUUGCUGCUCAGUGAUCUUUUUGAGAAAAAAAAA